GCGGAUGUGGCGAAAUUGGCAGACGCGCUAGAUUCAGGUUCUAGUGGGGUUAAACCCGUGGAGGUUCAAGUCCUCUCAUCCGCA
rnacentral:tRNA from 3 species